rnacentral:rRNA from 1 species
GCCUCCCUCCGCCGCCACUCAGACUCCUACGGCGAGGCAGCAGGUAGGGGAAGUUAGUUAGGACAAGUGGGCGCGAAGCCUGAUCCAGCAAUGCCGCGUGGGUGAAGGAAGGUCGUUCGGAUUGUAAAGCCUUUCAGUUGGACGAAGCUUCUCCGGUGAAUAGCCGGAUGGAGUGACGGUACCUUCACAAGAAGCACCGGCUAACUACGUGCCAGCAGCCGCGGUAAUAC